CAUGGGCUGUCGUCCAGCCUGUGUCGUGAGGAUGUUGGGGUUAGGUCCCGUAACGAGCGCAACCCUUGUCCUUUAGUUACCCAGCACGUAAUGGUGGGCACUCUAAGGAGACUGCCGGUGACAAACCCGGAGGAAGGUGGGGAUGACGUCAAGUCAUCAUGGCCCUUACGGCCAGGGCUACACACGUGCUACAAUGGUCGGUACAAAGGGUUGCCAAGCCGCGAGGUGGAGCUAAUCCCAUAAAACCGAUCGUAGUCCGGAUCGCAGUCUGCAACUCGACUGCGUGAAGUCGGAAUCGCUAGUAAUCGUGAAUCAGAAUGUCACGGUGAAUACGUUCCCGGGCCUUGUACACACCGCCCGUCACACACAUGGAGUGGGUUGCUCCAGAAGUAGCUAGUCUAACUCGGGGACGUACCACGACGAUCAGUC
rnacentral:rRNA from 1 species